rnacentral:misc_RNA from 1 species
GAUACCGAUCCACAAGAGACGCAGGAGUGGCUCGACGCUCUGGACAGCGUGCUCGAGUAUGAGGGCACAGAGCGCGCGCACUACUUGCUCGAGAAGCUGAUCGACAAGUCACGGCGGUCGGGGGCCUACCUGCCCUAUAGCGCCAACACCGCGUACAUCAACACCAUCCCGCCCGGCCAGGAGGAGCGCUCGCCCGGAAACCACGAGUUGGAGCAGCGCAUCCGCUCCUACGUGCGGUGGAACGCGAUGGCGAUGGUGGUGCGGGCCAACAAGGUUUCCUCCGAAUUGGGCGGCCACAUCGCCAGCUUUGCUUCCGCCGCUACCCUGUACGACGUGGGCUUCGAUCACUUCUGGCACGCGCCGAGCGAGAAGCACGGCGGCGAUCUGCUAUACGCGCAAG